CCUCAUCGGGGGUGCUUGGCCCAGGGCCGGGGAAAGAGUGCCAGGGCACCAGGGAGGUGCCUCCUGGGACGCUCCUUGGCAUCGCCCUGUGCCGGUCCGGGCUCUGGGCACUCUGAGUCACUCUCUCCUGCACGAUUUUAUUAGCUCCUCUUGGGUCUCCCUCCUCCCUGGCCUUGCAUCUCCAUGAGCCUUCCAGCUCCUCUGCGACCCACUUGCCCUUACAGCCUCAGGGCCACCUCCCUUGCCCGGGCCCUCGCUGCCCGCUGCACUCAGCGUCCCUCCUGCUCUGAGGCUUUGUUUCUGCGGUUCGGGUCCCGUCACCUCUGCAUGUGCAAACCUUAUUCCCCCAGGUCACCUGGAAGCGAUCGCUUCCUCUUCUGAACCUACCGCACCCCCCUGUGGCCUGGCCCUUCCCUUUAUUCACCCAUCCCGGUGUUCACUGAGCACCUACUAUGUGCGCAAGGUGCUGGGCACACGCUGGUGGUCGGCACCGGCAUCUCGGCCCUGCUGGAGCGAAGGUGCCGCCGCUGAGGGGGGCCUAAAAGGAAGCAGGCGCUACAACAGAACCGCAGGCUGCGAAGCCACUGCUGUCCACUCCCCAGUGGCCACAGGCGACUCUCAAGGUUACAAAACUGCUUCAAGGCUAUGUGUCAGAGAGCAUGCAAGGAGCACAUAGAAAGUGUCCCUGCUGUCAACCUAGUACACGGGGAUACUGCCUUAAAGAAGCCUUCAGCGGGGACAAAGUUCCUGUAGAUGUCUGCACUUUGGUUUCCUCCUGCUGCCUCCUUCUGUUGCUCACAUUUUGAGUUUGGGGUCUUUGCUGUUGGGACCCUUAAGAGGCAGCAUUCUCCUCCCCUUGUGCUCACGUCCCCAUCUGUCCUCCUACUGCCCCUGCGGGUCCCCCAGUGAGGCCUUCCCUGACCCCGCUCCAAUCAAAACCAGGUUCCCCUGGAUUCUCCCUCCCAUCGAUCUGUUUUUAACUUCCUGUAUAGCACUUCUUACAAGUUAUCAUUUUUAAUAAAUCGUGAGGCCUCUUUCCAGA